UACGAAGGGGGGCUAGCGUUGUUCGGAAUUACUGGGCGUAAAGCGCGCGCAGGCGGUCUUCCAAGUCAGUGGUGAAAGCCCGGAGCUCAACUCCGGAAUUGCCAUUGAAACUGUGAGACUGGAGUACGAGAGAGGUGAGUGGAAUUCCCAGUGUAGAGGUGAAAUUCGUAGAUAUUCGGAGGAACACCAGUGGCGAAGGCGGCUCACUGGUCCAUUACUGACGCUGAGGUGCGAAAGCGUGGGGAGCAAACAGG
rnacentral:rRNA from 1 species